GUGAGAUUAGCUCAGCUGGUUGGAGCAUGGUGCUAAUAACCCCAGGUUUGAGGGUUUGAUCCCCAUAUGGUCCA